rnacentral:rRNA from 1 species
UACGUAGGGGGCAAGCGUUGUCCGGAAUCAUUGGGCGUAAAGAGCGCGUAGGCGGCCCUGUAAGUCCGCUGUGAAAGUCAAGGGCUCAACCCUUGGAUGCCGGUGGAUACUGCAGGGCUAGAGUCCGGAAGAGGCGAGUGGAAUUCCUGGUGUAGCGGUGAAAUGCGCAGAUAUCAGGAGGAACACCGGUGGCGAAGGCGGCAUCCUGGACCGGCAUUGACGCUGAGGCGCGAAAGCCAGGGGAGCAAACGGG